GACUUAGGCACGAACGUUUGUGGUGGUCUGAGUGCCGCCGUUUUUUAAACAAAGCAGAACUAACAGCUAUGCUUUGUUUUCCUUGCAACACACCACCAAAAGUGCUCUGGAACACACCUAAGAGUUUUUGAAGGUGCUCUUUGGUUUAAGAGGACCAUGUUAGCAAAGAAAACGCUAUAUACAGUGAUUUUGGUUCACUUUGUUUUAAUCUGUUGUGCUGGGGAUCAGUCAUUCGAGCAAGUAGUGACCGAGGAAUACUGGAACGAGGUUGAAGAACAGGACAACCAACGCAAUAACGAAAUAAUUUGCUGGUUCAACAAUAGGAUCCUAAAAGUUGGUGAAAAACUGAGCAACAACUGUGUAUGCAGAAAGUCUGGUUAUAUUGUGUGCCCGUAGAGUUUAAAAGUUUUUUGUUAGUACAGGAGACUCCGGUCCUCUGACAUCACCGACUUGGGAAUAUACACGCGAGCGACUCCUUGUCUCUUGUGAUUCAACCAAAUCAUUCCCACGAUGCAAAUCACAGCCAGCGCAAGUAAAGGAAGAACCGCUGAUGUAGUAGCAUCUGAAAUGAAAAUAAAAUUUUUUUUAUUAGACAUUGUUAGAUCUAGAUGAAUAAGUUUACCAAGUAAAAAACAAGUAAAAAAAUGUGUGGAAAAAGUGGAAAUAAAGGAUGUCAAUAUCAAUAAUGAUAA